rnacentral:rRNA from 1 species
UACAGAGGUCUCAAGCGUUGUUCGGAUUCAUUGGGCGUAAAGGGUGCGUAGGCGGCGCGGUAAGUCGGGUGUGAAAUCUUGGAGCUUAACUCCGAAACUGCAUUCGAUACUGCCGUGCUUGAGGACUGGAGAGGAGACUGGAAUUUACGGUGUAGCGGUGAAAUGCGUAGAUAUCGUAAGGAAGACCCAGUGGCGAAGGCGG